GCUCCUGAGAGCGGAGCCAGAGGUCAUGCGGGACCCUUGAGGACUCCUCGUGCCCCACCGGCCUCAAUGCCCACCCCGCCCUUCUGGCCCAGAGUCCCCAGUGUCAGAGCGGCCGCUGCCCCUGGACAGGAUGAACCCCCAAAGCUGUCUGCAGGGAAACCAAAAGUCUGCGUUUGCGUGAAAAAUCUCCCCAGUGCCGAUGUGUUCCCAGCUAAUUCAAAGAAAAGUCGAGUCACGCCGUGGGUUGGUGGCGAGAGCAGACAGCGUACGCGUACUGUGCUCGUCCUGCGCUCACAAAGCCCUCCCUCCCCGCCUGGCACCUUCUGCACACCUCAACUCCCAAGCCCUGCAGGGGCCCUUCUGCAGCCGGCUCUGGCCGCCACUGGCUGGCUGCAGCCCAGCUGCUCCCACCGCCAGCCUGGGUCCUGGGUGGCCUCACAGGCCCGGCCACGCCGGCCACCCCAGGCUAAGUCACUCUGGUGGCAGCCCUCACCUGGAACACCUUGUUCUGAAGCUUGAUCUUCCGGUACUUCUCCUCCUCAGGAUGCAGGUGGAUGUUGUCCAGGUACCUGGGCAGACAGGGGAGAGCAGCUCAGAGCCACACCGGCUCGUGCUAAGAGUGACCCCCGGGAAGGCUGCCGUCACACCCUGUACACCCCAUAGAGCCCAACCCCUGGUGCCCCAGACACUGGGCCUCCUCCUCGGUCCUGCCUCCCCCUGAGGGCACCAAGGAGCCACCGUGGUGGGGGUGGAGCAGGCAGAGCCAGAGCUGAUGGGUCCCCAGAGCCGGCUUGGGGGUUGCUGAGCAACAGACUUCUGGCCCCGCCCCCGACCUGCUCCCAUCAGAGGAGUUGGCGGUGGGUGAGACCCUGCCUGCUUCACAUUCUUCUGAUGAUCCCAAAGGGAAGCCAGGGUUGGGAACCCCCGAUUCAGUAAACCUCUUCAUUCUAAACACUGGUAAACUGAGGCCCAGAGAGGCCAAGGCCCUUCCCCAAGGGCGAGGGGGAGUGAAGGGUGGGGCCUGGCCUCACUCCCAGGGCCGUGCUCCCUCUGGGGCCCCUCAGCCGAUCGCGAUGGAGGCCCAGGAGCUGGCACCCCAGUGGGAGGGGGCCGCCCACUCACCUGGCGAUGGUGUCCACGCCCAGCUUCACCCGGUCCCGGUCCUUGUUGAACGUGUGGAUCUUCAUGAUGGAGGCGGCCACUGGGUCGGUGGAAAAGUGCUGGGAGGAGGGAGGAAAGCUGAGUCAGAAAGCGUCCACCUCAGGGCCUGGAGGCCAUGCCAGCCAAGCAGCCAGGUCUCAGCACUCAGGUGGCAGCAGUGACACCGGUGACAACAGUAAGAACUGUCUCACAGCAGGCCCUAGCAUGGGACAGAAGCAAAUUCAACAGCAGAAAAAGGAGGAGGAAAACCCUUUUGAUGACUCCAGCCUGGGGCCUCAGCCCUGCCCUCACGUCUAGGGAAAAGGGGGCGAUGGCAGCCCAGGUUACACCACCCCUCGGGUCGGCGUGACACAGACCUUUGCCUACCGCUCUGGCUUUGGCGCCCAACGCCAGCACUGAGUGCCACCAAGGGCGCAGCAGCUGAGUGCCUGGGACCCGCCAGCCACCGCGGACCUGACGUCCCUCCUCAUCCCCCAUCCCUACGAGGGACGUUCUAGAAACAGACGGAGGUGGCAGAGACAGGACGCAAAAGAGGUCUGUGACCUGUGGCUGCCUGAUCACUCCUGGGGGAGGCAAGAUAGUGGAGACAUCACUGACCGGUCCCCAUGGGACCCUGCGAACAGCACCCCAGCGAGGAGAGGCUGAGAAUGGAAAACUAAGGCGAGGGGCAAGACUGGGCAGCAGAUCUGCUCACGUUCUGGACAGCCACUGCACACGGCCACACCGUAUGGUGGUGUUUCUCUGCAGCCCCAGAAAGUCACUAGUUACAUGGCGAGUGGGGCUGGCACCCGCAUCAGCCCCAAAGUCAUUUGCUCUGCCUGGAUAAUGGUGGGGGUGGGGCCUCCCUGGUGGUCCAGUGGUUAAGACUCCGUGCUUCCACUGCAGGGGCCACGGGUUUGAUCCCUGGUCGGGGAAGUUCCACAUGCCGCAAGGUGUGGCCAAAAAGAAAAAAAAAAUGGUGGGGGUGAACAGCUGGGUCACCAGAGGUGAUGAAUCAAGAGCACAGAAGACCUGGCCCCCUCAGAUCUACCCCUGGGCAGCCCUGCAGAAGCCCAGCCACAGCUCCUGGAAGGCAGCUGUGGGGCUUCCACCCUGCCCCAGCUACCUUCCCUCAGCUACACUGGGGUGAGCCUUCAGCAGCCACACUGUGUCACUUAGUUGUCUGAUCUGAACUGGGCCAGCUCUCCUGGGAACUUCAAAUUGGGACCCAGCCCAGUCUGCCAGUAAGUUGCCAGGGUAGGACAAAAAUAUGUGGAAGGGCAGAGAAAUCGGGUCUGUAGAGAAGCAGCAGUAAGAUGGGGGGCAUUCUCAGGACAAGGCUGAGCCAGGCUGACCGCUCCCUACUCCAGCCUCCUCAGGACAAGCACACCCACCCACCCAGGGAAGAGUUGCAGCUCCAAAUGCUGUUCUCACAUGUUUCCAGGCAGCCUGCAGCCUCGUUUAAAUUAGGACCAGGGCGCACGAACGGACAAGGGGACAAAAGAACAGACACAUCCCGAAAGGAACCGAAUCCAUGUAGGGAUUUACUUUGUGAUAAUGGGAGAUUUCACGGUGGCCAAAAGACAGGUGUUUCAAUAAAUGAGGAUUGGGGAAAACUGGAUAACUAUCCGGAAAAAAAAAAAGGAAUAACACUAGUUCCAU